rnacentral:lncRNA from 10 species
UUUGUUAACCUCCUUUUACAGAUGAAGAAAAACAAGAUCAGAGGUGCUAAGUGCUGUAGCCUAGUGCCAGGUCUUCUGGCCCCAAUUCUGGGUUCUCCCCAAGCCCAUGCUUCUUCCACUUUCUCACAAUCUUUACUUCUUCCUCUGACCCUCACCACCACCCAAAAUGCUUUUAAUUCUGGAAAAGAAACCCAGCUGCACACUGGCACACUUGACCUUCCUGCAGUCAGAAGCCUUGGCUGAUUCCCCAUCCAAAAUAUUAGAGAUGAAAUGAAAGCAAAGUAGGCAUCUGACAAAAGUUGCUUUUUCCCUUCUGCAUUUUAGGACCUCAAGUAAUGUUUAUCCAGAAACUGCUAUCAUACCAGAGAUUCACUGUGUAUUUAACAACAUAGGCAUACAAUCUGGCAAAUUUGAAAAACUCUUAACAUACACCCCAAAUCCCUGCCCAAAUUUAAGAACUAGGGUGGACACAGUGCUUUUUUCCAUGUCGCAUCUUCUGUGAUGGGGCUACGAUAUGUGGGAGCAGAGAAUGGGGAGGGUGGAGCGCAUGCCAGAUGAGGAUCUAUCAGCAAUGGGAGGGGGCCUCCACUUUAGCAUCUCCACCCUGCUCCUCUCAGAGGACCGCCUUUCAUUGCAUUCAGCUGUGAUGGUAGCAAGAACACAGGCGCACCGAGGACGAGGAGAGCGGGAGCCUUGUGCUCUCUCUGCAUCUGAGGCAGGACAGCACAGGGUAUGGAGCAGUCUGCAGAGAGGCCAGCUCAUCAG